rnacentral:lncRNA from 1 species
UGGGCAACAAACUUGACACCUUGGCUUAUGACAGGUGCCUUAGGAGCCAGAUGUGCCCAGCUGUGGGAGAGAGGGGCCAAGCCAAGGAGGGCGAGAAGAGCUGUUAACCCCUGAUUCGCCAGCAAGGAGACGCCUGAGGAUGGAGUCCCGGACGCAGCCUACCAGGGUCUUCAGGUCCUUCAGCUGGUUCCUUAGCUGGAAGAGCUCUGUGGAGGUCAGCAGGAUGGUGUUGAGGGCGUGGACCAUGGUCGAGGCGAACUUGAGGUCCUCCUCCCGCAGCAGGAUGUCUGCCAUCGAGUGGAAGAUGUUCUCCGCAUUCAGCAGGAGGCACAGCUGCCUGGAGAGCAGGCAGACUGGGGUCAGGGCGCAGGCCGACCUGGAAGCCUCUGUGUCUCAGCCUGGGAGGCCUCCUCUUGGUUUUGCAGCGUCCUGGGGAAACUGCUCUUUCCUGAGGCCGGUGUGGAGCCAUGACUCUGAGGCCUGUGGUCGUGGGAGGUCGGGGAAGGGUGGGGGGAAUGCCGCACCUGCCUCUAGGCCUCCCAGCACUGCCUACCUGGGCCUAGCCACGCCAGGGCGCCCCACGCUAUAUUAAUCUCCUGGCACAAGAGAAACAGCUGGGCCUCCAGCUACCCAAAAUAGUUCCUGGGAUCCCGUCACCUUCCUGAACUCCCACAUGCCUGGGCAAUGCCCCCCACCCCA